UUGAUUUUUUUUUAAAAUGAAAAUAUGAUGAUUUUAAAGAAGUUAGAAAAAUAUAAAAAAAUUAAUAAUAAAGGGUAAAAUAGGAAAAAAGAAAGUAUGAUAAUUGUUUAAAGUUGAGAGGAGUUUGAUUUUUAUGAGUAGCCCAGCGGCAGCAGGUAAUGGACUCAAGUUCCUCCGCCCAAAACUCCGUCCCCAAUCCACUGAUAUCCAGGCCGCCGCCAUGUGGGGCGUCGCCGCCAUUACCAGCGCCCUCUAUGUCAUCCAUCCAUGGGAUUUUUUGAGGAAGACAUUUAUUGAGAAGCAGGAAGAGGAGAAGUGAGCAAGGCUGUCGAAGAAGCUGGUAGCUAACUGAUAUCAUUUUUCGUGAUAAGCAAUCCUUGAGCAGGAUGAAAGUCAAUAUACAUUUUUAUUUCAUGUUCCUCAUUAGUACAAUCACGAUGCUUUGAUGGCUAGCUGCUGCAAUCAAUUUUCCGAUUUGGAUUUAUUUUCAAAAAAAAAAAAAACUACUCUCCCUCAUCUUCACUCUUCACAUAUGAGUUUCUUUUUUCCAGCAGAUAUUCGAGGACGCUUUGGUGUAGUAAUUUCUGGUCAAAGUUCUUUUUGUCUCAAUAUCCAUCUCUCUUCAAAUGAAACAAGCGCAACUGUGUUUCCUCGAGGAAGAUAAGCUCCCCUACCCAGUGUACAACUGAUCAAUCAUAUUCCGAUUUAGAACAAGAUAUGUCAAAAUGUGGUGCGGACCAAUAUGGUAGAAUCUUCACUUCAUGUACUUUGGAUGGUUCAAGUGAUCAGAUUCAGACUGCUAAGGAGUUUUAGUCUAUAAGGG